rnacentral:rRNA from 1 species
UUUUAGAGUUUGAUCAUGGCUCAGGAUGAACGCUGGCGGCAUGCCUAAUACAUGCAAGUCGAACGGGGUGCUUGCACCCAGUGGCGAACGGGUGAGUAACACGUAUCUAAUCUACCUUUUAGUGGGGGAUAACAGUUGGAAACGACUGCUAAUACCGCAUACGACAUCAUUAUCGCAUGAGAAGAUGUUGAAAGGCCCGUUUGGGUCGCUAGAAGAUGAGGAUGCGGCGUAUUAGCUAGUAGGUGGGGUAAAGGCCCACCUAGGCGAUGAUACGUAGCCGAACUGAGAGGUUGAUCGGCCACAUUGGGACUGAGAUACGGCCCAGACUCCUACGGGAGGCAGCAGUAGGGAAUUUUUCACAAUGGGCGAAAGCCUGAUGAAGCAAUGCCGCGUGAGUGAUGACGGUCUUCGGAUUGUAAAGCUCUGUUGUAAGGGAAGAACAGCUAGAAGAGGAAAUGCUUUUAGUUUGACGGUACCUUACCAGAAAGCCACGGCUAAAA